GUGCCUCCAAAAUGUCAACAUCUCAUGAGCUAAGAAAAACAGGCCUGUUUUCAUCUGUGUGAGGAUAUACUGCUCAGAUAAUCCAAUUGGUUUUCAAAUGGUUUACCCACUGAAAAAUAUGUUUUGCUUUUUGUUACUUCACCUGGAUGUUUGAGCUUCACUGUGCAGACUGAUGUACGUGCAGUAUGAGAUUUUGUAUCUGCUGAGGGGGACGUUUCUCUGAGCUCACCUUAAAUCUCACGUUAAAGACAUACUGCAGGUGCCUCAUUCACUGAGCACAUCAGGCCCUCCUGGCAGACUCCACGACCUCUCAGCUGGAACACAGCUCGACACACAGACCAACCUGCCUGUGCAGCUCGUCUCCUCUUCAGCUCCUCACUCUGCUGUCUGCUCACCGAGUUUCCUCUCCUCACUGGACUCCCAUCAGCCACUUGGGGGCAGUAUAUAGCCAGAGAAGUCGGUGUUGUGGGCUCA